UACGGGGGGGGCAAGCGUUGUUCGGAAUUACUGGGCGUAAAGGGCGCGUAGGCGGCUCGCUAAGUCGGAUGUGAAAACUCUGGGCUCAACCCAGAGCCUGCAUUCGAAACUGACGAGCUCGAGUUCUGGAGGGGAAAGCGGAAUUCCUGGUGUAGCGGUGAAAUGCGUAGAUAUCCGGAGGAACACCGGUGGCGAAGGCGGCUUCCUGGACCGAAACUGACGCUGAGGCGCGAAAGCUAGGGGAGCAAACGGG
rnacentral:rRNA from 1 species